CCCUUAGAUAUUCUGGGCCGCACGCGUGCUACACUGAGUGGAUCAGCGGGUCAGGUUGCGCGAAAGUGUUUCCUAAUCUUUAAAUCCGCUCGUGAUGGGGAUUGACGGUUGCAAUUUUCCGUCAUGAACGAGGAAUACCUUGUAAGCGCGGGUCAUCAUCCCGCGCUGAAUACGUCCCUGCCCUUUGUACACACCGCCCGUCGCUCCUACCGAUUGAGUGGUCCGGUGAGGCUUUGGGAUCUGAGCGGAAAGAGCGUUUCGCUGUUUCUGCCCGGAAAACUCAGUCGAACCUUAUCAUUUAGAGGAAGGAGAAGUCGUAACA
rnacentral:rRNA from 1 species